GCUCUCUGGAGAAUCCCAGAAAAUGGGUGCCGAAGGUGAAAGGAAUCCUAUCCAGCGUCCGAACGGAUGCCGGGAUGUGCUUCUGAAUCUCUCAGGCAAAAGGACAGUGAA
rnacentral:ncRNA from 1 species